rnacentral:rRNA from 1 species
GUAGGUGGCAAGCGUUGUCCGGAUUUACUGGGUGUAAAGGGAGCGUAGGCGGGGAUACAAGUUGAAUGUUAAAACUAUGGGCUCAACCCAUAGUUGCGUUCAAAACUGUAUUUCUUGAGUGAAGUAAAGGUAAGCGGAAUUCCUAGUGUAGCGGUGAAAUGCGUAAAUAUUAGGAGGAACACCAGUGGCGAAGGCGGCUUACUGGGCUUUAACUGACGCUGAGGCUCGAAAGCGUGGGUAGCAAACAGGAUUAGAUACCCUGGUAGUCACGCUGUAAACGAUGAUUACUAGGUGUGGGGGGACUGACCCCUUCCGUGCCGGAGUUAACACAAUAAGUAAUCCACCUGGGGAGU